rnacentral:tRNA from 1 species
GGAUUGUGGCUCAGUGGUAGAGCGCUUGCCUAGCAUACCUCACGUGAGGCACUGGGUUCGAUCCCCAGCACCA